rnacentral:rRNA from 1 species
GUGUCAGCAGCCGCGGUAAUACGGAGGGUGCAAGCGUUGUCCGGAUUUAUUGGGUUUAAAGGGUGCGUAGGCGGCUAUUUAAGUCAGUGGUGAAAUCCAUCAGCUCAACUGAUGAACUGCCAUUGAUACUGGGUAGCUUGAGUACAGACGAGGUAGGCGGAAUUGAAGGUGUAGCGGUGAAAUGCAUAGAUAUCUUCAAGAACACCGAUUGCGAAGGCAGCUUACUAGGCUGUAACUGACGCUGAGGCACGAAAGUGCGGGGAUCAAACAGGAUUAGAAACCCCCGUAGUCC